rnacentral:rRNA from 1 species
GAUGAACGCUGGCGGCGUGCCUAAUACAUGCAAGUCGAGCGAACAGACGAGGAGCUUGCUCCUCUGACGUUAGCGGCGGACGGGUGAGUAACACGUGGAUAACCUACCUAUAAGACUGGGAUAACUUCGGGAAACCGGAGCUAAUACCGGAUAAUAUAUUGAACCGCAGGGUUCAAUAGUGAAAGACGGUUUUGCUGUCACUUAUAGAUGGAUCCGCGCCGCAUUAGCUAGUUGGUAAGGUAACGGCUUACCAAGGCAACGAUGCGUAGCCGACCUGAGAGGGUGAUCGGCCACACUGGAACUGAGACACGGUCCAGACUCCUACGGGAGGCAGCAGUAGGGAAUCUUCCGCAAUGGGCGAAAGCUUGACGGAGCAACGCCGCGUGAGUGAUGAAGGUCUUCGGAUCGUAAAACUCUGUUAUUAGGGAAGAACAAAUGUGUAAGUAACUAUGCACGUCUUGACGGUACCUAAUCAGAAAGCCCCGGCUAACUACGUG